UAGGGAAUCUUCCACAAUGGGCGAAAGUCUGAUGGAGCAACGCCGCGUGAGUGAAGAAGGGUUUCGGCUCGUAAAACUCUGUUGUUAAAGAAGAACAUAUCUGAGAGUAACUGUUCAGGUAUUGACGGUAUUUAACCAGAAAGCCACGGCUAACUACGUGUCAA
rnacentral:rRNA from 1 species